GAUGAACGCUAGCUACAGGCUUAACACAUGCAAGUCGCGGGGCAGCAUGGGGGUUGCUUGCAAUCCCCGAUGGCGACCGGCGCACGGGUGAGUAACGCGUAUCCAACCUGCCCUUCACCACGGGAUAACCCGGCGAAAGUCGGACUAAUACCGUAUGUUGUCCAUUGACGGCCUCCGAUUUGGACGAAAGGUUUGGCGGUGAAGGAUGGGGAUGCGUCCGAUUCGCUGGACGGCGGGGUGACGGCCCACCGUGGCGACGAUCGGUAGGGGUUCUGAGAGGAAGGUCCCCCACACUGGAACUGAGACACGGUCCAGACUCCUACGGGAGGCAGCAGUGAGGAAGAUUGGGCAAUGGGCGUAAGCCUGAACCAGCCAAGUAGCGUGCAGGAUGACGGCCCUAUGGGUUGUAAACUGCUUUUAUGCGGGGAUAAAGUGGCCCACGUGUGGGUUUUUGCAGGUACCGCAUGAAUAAGGACCGGCUAAUUCCGUG
rnacentral:rRNA from 1 species